rnacentral:lncRNA from 1 species
AAGCCCCUAUACAAACACUACUCCCCUAUGCACAAAUUCUAUGUAACCAUAGAGGGGCUUCUAAUGGCCUAAGGCUGUCCCUGAACCUAUGUAGAAUAAUGGUGGUUAUUUUUGAGCAGUACUAGAUAUAGAUGUACUAUAAGUGUUUGAAAGAAUGCUAGCAAAAUAUGUAGGGGAAGAUUUAUUAGAAUGCCAUGUUCUGAAACGUGUAAACGGACAAGAUAACGAAUAUGCCUGCUAAUUGGUUUUCAUGGUGAUUGUCCCACAUUUAGAUAUUUGAGUGGUUGCACAGCAGAUGGGCUACUCUGACUUUCUCGAAAUUCUACAGGAAAACUCUUUCAUACUUACUUGCCACCUAUACCUACCUGCAGAGGCAACAUCCUUAGGCACCUGCACACAGUGUGGUGACAGCCUUUAAUGUCAAAGAAUCACUGAGUCUUCCCACUACUGGGGCUUUCCAAGUUCCGGGCGAGGGAAACAAACAAUCCCUUUACAGGUUCUUAAUUCGCUCAGCCAUGAAACUUCCUUGAGAUCUUCCUCCCCUUCAAACGGUGGGGGUUAUCAUGGUCCACACUGGCGAUGCUUCAAGUAUUGCCUGACUCAGACAGUCUUAGCAUACAGAGGCAAAAGGGCCUUGUUACAAAAUGCCUUUUGUAACUUUUGUUUUAUGCGACAAAUUGCCCUGCUUCCCUGUAUUAUGGAGAAGCCUCAUUGCCAGCCUUCUUCCCCAUGUCUAUGCACUUAGUGUGUAUGGCCCUUUAAGAACCGUCUGGGGACACAUUGAAACUUUUGGGAACAAUGCCCAUUUAAGACUGUGUCCCCAGGCCCCUAAAAUACCUUGUUUGUUCCCUUUUCUGAACCAAGUACCACACAGGCGGACCACCCAGAAGUGUAAGUGUGUCGUCAUUUUACCUCCCAGGCUGGGAGGCUGCUGAAGGUAAAUUACCAACCGCUGGGGCGGCCAUCUUUAUCCAGGUGAACGCGGUCAGCGGUGUGUGCAGCCAAAUUCAUGGAACUGAAAUCAGCUACACAUUUAGCCGAACACCGCUGACCCUUACCUUCUUGGUAGUUUUCGGCCACAGAGACUAAGUACCGUUUGUGCAUGCGAAUAGGACUUAGUCAUUUUUUCAUGUGAAAUUGACUGACUGCACAGCCCAAAUCUAUGUAACGGUUUUGGGCAGGAAAAUGUGCUUGCGGUCACAAAGGACUUCCGUCUAACUUUUUAGCUACUGGAGGGAUUUGUAUGAUUUUUGAGAGUGUUUAUAUUUGAAGUAUGCUGAGUUUGAAUAUGUGAUUUUUAUGAAGACUGGAUGUAUAGUUUUAAAGUUACAGCAUAUGUGUAAAAAGUAUAUUUUUCCUGCCUGUGAUAGUUACAUUAAACCAUUGUGUACAGUAAUUAUAUCACAGGUAGAGGGGAGGAUUUUGUGGGAAUGAAUGGGAGUGUUUUUCUGUAAUGUACGUGUUUUAUUGGUUGUUCUACAAAACCCUGUGGGCGGUACUGUAUGUGUAAAACCUGCAUAAAAGAAAGCCCUUUGGUGCCAAUUAAAGAGAACUACUUGACCCUCUAACUCACAGCCUCGACUCGUGUUUGUAGGAGACAGCUAUAAUCACUAAAUGCUCUUCAUAAUCCCUUAGCUACUGAGCUCUUGUAAGAGUUCUUGUUCCUGAUCCUGCUUCGCUCUACAGAAGGAAGAGGUUCACCUACUGGAACCUGGAGCCUGGUCAUAGGUCCAGGGUGGAUAGCAGACAGCGAGAUCCCAGCCCAGCAGUGGUGGUUCGUAGAGUCUGCAGUAGUUAUGGUGUCUACGGUGCUGAUGGUCCUUAGGUGAGCGCGAGGAGCAUCCUUUCUAUGGUCCAACUUCCAGCUAGCCUGGAGGCAACCAUAACAGGCGUACUUAUCAAGAUUGACCUGUGCCCACAAACCAAAGACCUAUUAGCAAAAUACAAUCUGCUGAUGAAGGACUUCUUAGAUGGGUUGAGACAGAGAGCAACAGUAUGCCUACCUCAUCCUGACCAGCUGGCUGACAAUUGACACCCUCAAGACCUUGUACAGGGUGACUCAGCAAGCACCCACAUCAUUCAAUGGCACCUUUGUAGGCUGGGAGCUAGCUUGGGUAGAAACUGCUCACACCAACCACAUCCUCCAACAGCUUUGCAACAGAGGCACCAUCGAUCUCAAUCACUGCAGCAUACCAGGCAAAAGCACCCUGAACUUUAUCCAAGUGUGGGACAGUGGAGGUAGGCUUAGGGCUCUUAUACAGGCCUGGGGCGGGUAUGAAGUGUGUGACAGGACACCCAAUCAGCAUCUUGCUUACAGCCUACCCUAGCCGCUGAGGUAUAGUGGGCAUGACCGGGAAAUCUUAGCCUGCUGGAACUCUGUGCCAGAUCGAGGGGCUAGUCACUGAACUUUGAACUUCUAAUUCAGGCUAGCAAUAUCCGAUCCGAGCGCUUUUCGGACACAAUGGAUGCUCCAGGAAGACCUUUCUGGAAAUGUAGGUUCCUAUAUGUUUUAUAUGUGUUUUUUAUGGUUUACAUUGUUAUGCUUAGUCAUGCUGACACAAGAAAUCUAGUUUGUAUUUUUAUGCUUGAAAUUCAUGGGCAUGUUGUGGGAGUGUUCUGGGCAUGGUUGACUGUACCCUUGCUGUGUAUAUAAGUGGACCAUCUGGACAUGAUAAAUGCAUUACCUCUUCUGCUUACUAAGUGCAUACUCAUAUGUAAUCGCAAUUAACUCUGUGUGACAUUUUCCAAAAUGUGGUUACUCGUAUAAAAUUUACAAAACAAAUGGUGCAGUAUUCUCCUACAAACUUGUUUUACCACAUAUGAUUUUACGCUUUUUAUUGUUGUUGCAUAUUUUUUGUAUACUGCUUGAACCACAGUACAAAAUGAUUGACAAAAAGAUGUGAUACUUUUAAAGAUGAUUUACAAGCUGAUACCUGAGCCUAACUUGGCUUAAUGCAUGUAUAAUGUAAGUGUAGGCUUUGCAUGACUCUGGGAAAUAAAUUGGCAUUAUAAGUGCUCAGUUAUAGCUUUAAACAUUGACAUUCUAGCUCUGUCUUCAGCUAUAAAUAUUGAAAAACUGGGUCUGUGAGAGUUAUUUAAUGCCCCAUUAAUCUCUCAAUGAUUUCUAUUCUCUGUGACAAUAAAGGGGAAAGCAAAACAUUUGAGAUGUUUGUAAUUAGAGAUCAUCGAACUCUAACACCAAUCAUUAAUAAAAAAAUAAUCAAAACAGGCUUGUGUAUGACCUACUUUUCCAACACCCUGGGUUCAUGGGGAGUCCUACUGCAGAGCCCCUAUCCUUUCUUGCCUCUUGUGGGAUAAUUAAGUGUUUGGUAAUAAAUAGGGCAGAGUAUGUCCUGGCUUUUUGGCUAUUAAAUGGUACAUGUCAUGACAAAUACAACUUACUCUGAUAUGAUAGAAAAUUUAAUUUCAUCUAUGCAUCGUGCUAGCAAAUGUCUGCAUUUCUCUAAAGUCAAAUGUUAAAAAAUAGUCCUUUCCCCAUCUACUCAGGACAGACUUUGUGUGAGAGUACAUCCAGCAGCAGCACAGAGAGAGGAAAGAAACAGAAUGACUUUGUACAAAAGCUAUAGACUCGCAGUCUGAUAAUGGAGAGAGAAAACAGAUCUGUG